GACCGCAUCGCGAGAUAUGGACAACGCGUCGCCCUUCGGUAUCGGAGAUUACAGGUUCGAAUCCUGCUGCGGUCG
rnacentral:tRNA from 1 species